AUAACAAUAGCAAAUCUAUAUUUAUGCAAUGCAGCAGGUCAUUCUUAAAUACGCAUGCUUGUAUGUAUUUUGAAUGCGCUUCAUUGCGCUCUCAGGUGAUUCAUUCACCUUCACUCGCACAGCGUGGGCGGAGUCUCGUACCUGUGCUCGCAAGUGCUGUCCGCCAUGUUUGUGCAGAUUGGAGGCAAACAAAACAGUGGAUUAUUUACCAAGAGAUGUGGAUGUAUGGACUCAUUUCGAUAAAACACUUCUGUGUUUAUGCUGCAGAAAACUGACAAGCAACACUACAGUCCGCCAAAAACAGACGAGGAAGAGGAGGAUGAUGGCGGUCCAGCAUAUACAAAGAGAAAGUAAUCAAUAGAAGCUGAAGGCAUGGCAGACAUUACUCAGACACCUGUGAACACUGAGCAGUGGUUGGAGUCCAAGACAGUGAAAUCAUCUUUAUUAUACUUCUGACUGAACUAGCAAGGAGCUUUAGGGGCAAUGAGAAAGUAAGUUCAAGUAAAAUGUCUGCAUUGACCAUUUCACCAUGUUAUUUUUUGCAGUAACUGCAGGGAAUAUUAACUGAAGAGACCUGAUCAACAGUAAGCUUUGGAUCUACUUAAUGUGUAUUUUUCAAGCAUUUUAUUGCAGUGUUCAAUGUUAUAUUUCUGCAUAGCGAUGACUGGUGAAAAGUGUUUAUCAAUUUACUUCAAUGUAUAGUUAAUCAGAAUUCUGUCAUUUACGUUUUACCAAACCUUUGACUUUUGUUUUUCUGCAGAACUCAAAAGCAGAUACUUUGAAGAAUGCUGGUAAUCAAACCCAACAAGUUUGUCAGGUAUGGACAGUACAAAGGGGACAAAAUGAUUUUCUUUUUUUGGGUGAACUCUCUUUUAUUUGCAUGCUACACACUAAAUAUUAAUUAUGCUGGGCACAGCCACUUAUUGUGCUGUCAUUGCGGUUAGUGCUGUAAAUAGUCUGUCAAGCAACAGGUACAUUGCUACAACAUACAUUUAAUGUAGUUCACAAUGAUGCAUUACGUUAUACCUUUACUAA